GAUGAGAACGUAGCGAAAUGCGAUAAGUAGUGUGAAUUGCAGAAUUCAGUGAAUCAUCGAAUCUUUGAACGCACAUUGCGCCCCUUGGUAUUCCAUGGGGCAUGCCUGUUCGAGCGUCAUCUACACCCUCAAGCUCUGCUUGGUGUUGGGCGUCUGUCCCGCCCCCGCGCGUGGACUCGCCCCAAAUCCAUUGGCAGCGUUCCUUGCCCCCUCUCGCGCAGCACAUUGCGCUUCUCGAGGGCGGCUCCGGGACGCGAUCCAGCAAGAUGACCACCGUCUUUGACCUCGGAUCAGGUAGGGAUACCCGCUGAACUUAAGCAUAUCAAUAAGCGGAGGA
rnacentral:misc_RNA from 1 species